rnacentral:misc_RNA from 1 species
GGAAGGAUCAUUACUGGUAAGCACCGCUAACGCACUCACGGGCCUCAGCAAUGGGGUCCCUGAGGGUGAUACCAGCCAAAAAAAAGGGGGUCGUCCUAGGUGAAAUUAAGUAAUCUGGGCCGGUCUCUUUUUUGUAACGAGGCACUGAUACCAGUGGGGAGAGUAGCAUCGGCAAUCGGGGGCUUAGGUCCUAGGAUGCUGAGGUGAAGGGUACCUAUUGGGAUCGGCUGUCGGACUAAGGUUGGGUCAGCAGAAAAAAAAAAGUGUGGGCCUUUUUGCUCCCCUCUCGAGGGGUACAAGGGACCUGCUAUUUUUGAAGUAUGCAGACCUUGGCAUCGGAGAUUCACAUUUUCGAUACUUUAACAACCCAAUACGAUGGAUGUCUCGGUUCCCACCUCGAUGAAGAGCGCAGCGAAUUGCGAUAUCGUAAUGUGAUUUGCAGAUUGUGUGAUACAUCGAGUACUUGAACGCAUUGCGCCUUGGUCCGCGAGGACCAAGGUACGUUUGGAUGAGGGUCAGUAUCUCUACACCACCUUAGAGUACGGGGUUAUACUACCUAGGUAGUCUAGCCCUCCGAAAUUCGGGGUAACUUGUCGGUUCGUUGGGCGCCUUUAUCAACGGUCCGAUUAAAUACACGGGAUGCCGGUAGGUACCACGUACCUAUCAGUGCUCUAGUGCUUCUUUUUAGUAGCUUCAACGUGAAACUAGCCUUCUCCCGAAGGUCAAGUCCCUGAGGCGAAAAAAUUUGGCAUUCAGAAUCCCAACAACACCCAAGACGAUGCAGCUUGGGACUAUCAGGGUCUCGGCUCUGAUACUUUCUUUGACCUCAUCUCAAUCGUGACCACGCCCUAAACUUAAGCAUAUUAAUCAGGGCAGGAAAGGAAACCAAACGGGACUCCCUUAGUAACUGCGAGUGAAGAGGGACCAGCCCAGGCUGAAUCCAAAACCCCAGGGUUGCGGAGUUGUGGCCUUUGACUUGGGUGAACAGGUGGGUUCGGCCAGCGAAGUUCCCUGAAACGGGACGCCAUAGAGGGUUAUAGCCCCGUAGCUAAGCUGAGUCUGCUGAAUUGCUUGAGUUUAGAGUCAGGCUGUUUGAGAGUACAGCCUAAAGUGGGAGGUACGCUCCUCCUAAGGCUAAGUAUAGGGUGGGAAUCCGAUAGCAUACAAGUACCGCGAGGGAAAGAUGCAAAGCACUCUGAAGAGAGAGUCAAAAGUACCUGAAAUCGUAUUGGGGGAAGCGUUUGGGGGAGUCACUAUGGGUAUUGCCUUUCAUCGGGCUGAUCGGUGUGCUGUGAGGUGUAGAGGUGCUCUCGGGUAUCCGAUACCUUGCAGAUUUCGCUGGUAGGCACGAGCAUUUAGGUAGUACCUUCUCGGUUUGGGUUGCGGCUUGGGCAAAUAGGCUUGUAGUAAGGUACCUGGCUUCCAGGGAUGUCUACAGGUUUGUACCCUCGCUUCGACCAAGGUCUCAGGGGAGUUUAGCUAGGGCCGCAAGGCAGGGCUUAUAGGGCUUCAUUGGGCUAUACGGUCUGGUUACAGCUUGCUGUGGCUGGGUUGUGUGGUUCUCUUGGUUCUAUGGCUACACCUAGCUUCAAGAAACCGGGUAACGACGAUCCUAACCGUCCCGUCUUGAAACACGGACCAAGGAGUCUAACAUAUGCGCGAGUCUAAGGGUUGUAAACCUGCUAGGCGGAAUGAAAGUGAUUUGGGUGAUGCUGAGUCCUCGGACGAUGCUGCAACCCGCACCGACCUUGACCCACGUGUGAUAGGUUUGAGUGGGAGCGUAUCUGUUAGGACCCGAAAGGUAGCGAACUAUGCCUGCAUAGAAUGAAGCCAGAAGAAAUUCUGGUGGAGGUUCGUAGCGGUACUGACGUGCAAAUCGUUCGUCAAAUGUGGGUAUAGCGGCGAAAGACUAAUCGAGCUGCCUAGUAGCUGGUUCCGCC